UAACACGUGGAUAACCUACCUAUAAGACUGGGAUAACUUCGGGAAACCGGAGCUAAUACCGGAUAAUAUUUUGAACCGCAUGGUUCAAAAGUGAAAGACGGUCUUGCUGUCACUUAUAGAUGGAUCCGCGCUGCAUUAGCUAGUUGGUAAGGUAACGGCUUACCAAGGCAACGAUGCAUAGCAGACCUGAGAGGGUGAUCGGCCACACUGGAACUGAGACACGGUCCAG
rnacentral:rRNA from 1 species